CCGGCCACACUGGGACUGAGANACGGCCCAGACUCCUACGGGAGGCAGCAGUGGGGAAUAUUGCNCAAUGGGCGCAAGCCUGAUGCAGCGACGCCGCGUGGGGGAUGACGGCCUUCGGGUUGUAAACCUCUUUCAGUAGGGACGAAGCGCAAGUGACGGUACCURCAGAAGAAGGACCGGCCAACUACGUGCCAGCAGCCGCGGUAAUACGUAGGGUSCGAGCGUUGUCCGGAAUUACUGGGCGUAAAGAGCUCGUAGGUGGUUUGUCGCGUUGUNCGUGAAAUCUCNCANCUCAAUUGNGANCGUGCGANCGAUACGGGCANACUGGAGUACNGCAGGGGA
rnacentral:rRNA from 1 species